UAUAAGAUAAUAAAAACUUUCAUUUUAAUGAGCAAAAUCAACAUGUAAAAAGAAUUGUGCAGUUGUGACUGUUUAUUUAAAUAAAAAAUUUAAAAUACAUUUGGCUCAAGAACAGGAGCAAGAAAUUCUGCAACAGAGGGUCAAUCGAAGAAACUUGCGAAACGCUGCAAAUCCACUUGAGUUGCCUGAUUCUUUAAAUGUUACAGAAUGAAUAAACCAGCAUUUAUUUACCUGUUAGAGGAACUUACUGCAAAGAAGCAAUUUGCAGUUUCUUCAAUUGUGAAAUUGAGCGGUUGUUUGCGUUUCUUUGCUGAAAGAGCUUAUCAGACAGGUUUUAGGAAAGACCACAAUAUCGCCCUAUCUCAGCCUAUUUUCAGUGCUUUCUGAAGUUGUAAAUAUUUUUGGAACUAACUUAUGUCCAAAAUGGAUGAAGGUUCCAAAGACAUCUGAGGAAAAAAGGAAAAUAGCUUUAGCAUUUUAUGUUAAGCAUAACAUUCCAGGUGUUGCAGGAUGCGUAGAUGGAACGCAUGUUCGAAUUAUUGCUCCGAAACAAAAUAGCUUUAUGAUAAUGAGUAAAAAAUUCGUUAUGUUGAUGCCUCUUAUUCUGGUGCCAACCAUGACGCCUUUUCUUGAAACACAAGCGAUCUGUGACAGCACUUCGAACAAGAGUAUUUGCGUGGUGUAGCUAACUUCUAGUUGUUAAAUUUUAUUUUACUAGGCGAUGCAGGAUAUCCCUUAGAGCCGUGGCUCUUGUCGCCUAAUAGACUUCCUCAGGAAGGUUCGCAGCAAAUGAGUUUUAAUAACAUUCACUUCAAGUGCCGAAAUAUUAUUGAACGCACUAAUGGCUUGCUGAAAAAUAGAUGGAAACGUCUUCUUGGUGCUGGAGAGAUGCAUUACACUCCAGAAAAAACCGCAAAAUUUAUAAAUGUUUGCAGUACCAAUUGCAGUACUGAUGAAAAUGUUUUUUCUGACUGCAGUACUUUUACUGACGAAGAUUUUUUCUUGAA